rnacentral:rRNA from 1 species
AUUGAAUGCUGGCGGCAGGCCUAACACAUGCAAGUCGAACGAGUGGCGGACGGGUGAGUAUUGUCUGGGAAACUGCCUGAUGGAGGGGGAUAACUAUUGGAAACGGUAGCUAAUACCGCAUACCAUCAGAUGUGCCCAGAUGGGUUUAGUUAGUAGGUGGGGUAACGGCUCACCUAGGCGACGAUCCCUAGCUGGUCUGAGAGGAUGACCAGCCACACUGGGACUGAGACACGGUCCAGACUCCUACGGGAGGCAGCAGUGGGGAAUAUUGCACAAUGGGCGCAAGCCUGAUGCAGCCAUGCCGCGUGUGUGAAGAAGGCCUUCGGGUUGUAAAGCACUUUCAGCGGGGAGGCGUUACCCGCAGAAGAAGCACCGGCUAACUCCGUGCCAGCAGCCGCGGUAAUAC